rnacentral:rRNA from 1 species
GAUGAACGCUGGCGGCGUGCCUAAUACAUGCAAGUCGAGCGAACAGACGAGGAGCUUGCUCCUCUGACGUUAGCGGCGGACGGGUGAGUAACACGUGGAUAACCUACCUAUAAGAAUGGGAUAACUUCGGGAAACCGGAGCUAAUACCGGAUAAUAUAUUGAACCGCAUGGUUCAAUAGUGAAAGACGGUUUUGCUGUCACUUAUAGAUGGAUCCGCGCCGCAUUAGCUAGUUGGUAAGGUAACGGCUUACCAAGGCAACGAUGCGUAGCCGACCUGAGAGGGUGAUGCGCCACCCUGGAACUGAGACACGGUCCAUCCUCCUACGGGAGGCAGCAGUAGGGAAUCUUCCGCAAUGGGCGAAAGCCUGACGGAGCAACGCCGCGUGAGUGAUGAAGGUCUUCGGAUCGUAAAACUCUGUUAUUAGGGAAGAACAAAUGUGUAAGUAACUAUGCACGUCUUGACGGUACCUAAUCAGAAAGCCACGGCUAACUACGUG